CGCGUAGGCGGUUUGUUAAGUCGGAUGUGAAAGCCCCGGGCUCAACCUGGGAACUGCAUUCGAUACUGGCCGACUGGAGUGCGAGAGAGGGAGGUAGAAUUCCACGUGUAGCGGUGAAAUGCGUAGAUAUGUGGAGGAAUACCGGUGGCGAAGGCGGCCUCCUGGCUCGACACUGACGCUGAAGCGCGAAAGCGUGGGGAGCAAACA
rnacentral:rRNA from 1 species